UACAGAGGGUGCAAGCGUUAAUCGGAAUUACUGGGCGUAAAGGGCGCGCAGGCGGCCUUAGAAGUCAGAUGUGAAAGCCCCGGGCUCAACCUGGGAAUGGCAUUUGAUACUCUGAGGCUGGAGUACGGGAGAGGAGAGUGGAAUUCCCAGUGUAGAGGUGAAAUUCGUAGAUAUUGGGAAGAACACCGGUGGCGAAGGCGGCUCUCUGGACCGUAACUGACGCUGAGGCGCGAAAGCGUGGGGAGCAAACAGG
rnacentral:rRNA from 1 species